rnacentral:rRNA from 1 species
UACGGGGGGGGCAAGCGUUGUUCGGAAUUACUGGGCGUAAAGGGCUCGUAGGCGGCCAACUAAGUCAGACGUGAAAUCCCUCAGCUUAACUGGGGAACUGCGUCUGAUACUGGAUGGCUUGGAUCCGGAAGAGGGAUGCGGAAUUCCAGGUGUAGCGGUGAAAUGCGUAGAUAUCUGGAGGAACACCGGUGGCGAAGGCGGCGUCCUGGACCAACACUGACACUGAGGAGCGAAAGCCAGGGGAGCAAACGGG